rnacentral:rRNA from 1 species
GAUGAACGCUGGCGGCGUGCCUAAUACAUGCAAGUCGAGCGAACAGACGAGGAGCUUGCUCCUCUGACGUUAGCGGCGGACGGGUGAGUAACACGUGGAUAACCUACCUAUAAGACUGGGAUAACUUCGGGAAACCGGAGCUAAUACCGUAUAAUAUAUUGAACCGCAUGGUUCAAUAGUGAAAGACGGUUUUGCUGUCACUUAUAGAUGGAUCCGCGCCGCAUUAGCUAGUUGGUAAGGUAACGGCUUACCAAGGCGACGAUGCGUAGCCGACCUGAGAGGGUGAUCGGCCACACUGGAACUGAGACACGGUCCAGACGCCUACGGGAGGCAGCAGUAGGGAAUCUUCCGCAAUGGGCGAAAGCCUGACGGAGCAACGCCGCGUGAGUGAUGAAGGUCUUCGGAUCGUAAAACUCUGUUAUUAGGGAAGAACAAAUGUGUAAGUAACUAUGCACGUCUUGACGGUACCUAAUCAGAAAGCCACGGCUAACUACGUG